CGGACGGGUGAGUAACGCGUGGGUAACCUGCCUUGUACUGGGGGACAACAGUUAGAAAUGACUGCUAAUACCGCAUAAGCGCACAGUAUCGCAUGAUACAGUGUGAAAAACUCCGGUGGUACAAGAUGGACCCGCGUCUGAUUAGCUAGUUGGUAAGGUAACGGCUUACCAAGGCGACGAUCAGUAGCCGACCUGAGAGGGUGACCGGCCACAUUGGGACUGAGACACGGCCCGA
rnacentral:rRNA from 1 species